GUGUGAAUCUUUCAGUCCCCGCGGCGUCCGCACCUGCCUCUCCCCCUCGUGCUCCCAUCUGCCCUGCCGACACCGCUUGCCAUGAGAGACCCAGAGGAAGUAAUGGCGGAGAAGACGGAAUUCAGGGCGCUGCAGCCUUCCCUGUGUUCUUGAUCUGGAGCCUGUCCAACCCGUCGGGCCCCGCCGGCGUACCUCCGGUCAGCGCCUCGAUUUGUCCCAUGCCUCUCGCUCAUCCACCUCGCGCCCGGGAUCGGCCGCCGUCGGUUCGUUCUUCCGGGGAUGUGGCGCUCCGCCUGCGUUGGUUCUUCGUGGUUCUUUCGGUGGUGCGUCUCACCGGCGGCCGGUUGGUCGGCAACUCGGCAUCCGUUGUCCGUGUCACCGUCUGUUGGUUCCAUCGCUUCAGGUACUAUGAUUCCAUCAUGUAAUUUGGAUCUUGAGGAAUCUCGCUGACGGCGAGUGGGAGAUUCGCUGUGUCAAAUAGUUUCUUGUGGUGAUGGCAUGCAUGUCUCAUUGGCCUCUAGAUGGCGGUCUGGUAUACUUCGUUGGGGUAGAGUGGUCGAUUCCGUCUUGUAUAUCUCCUUUCCUUCGUAGUUAUUUUUCUCUUUUCAUCCUUUGAUUAUUGUGUGAUCUUCAAUGUUGAUCGGUUUUGUUGGUUUUGUCCUGCUGAUCAGUUCCUCCCACGCCGGAUGUUCAGUGCCUUGAUGAUGCAUGGAAUCAUUAAAGGGAUAGCACUACUGCUUAGAGAUAAUGAUGAUGAUGCUACAAAGAGUUUGUUGUUCCUACAUAGUACAAAGUAAUAGAGAUAAUGCUGCUGCUAAUUAAAGAUCGUCUUUUCUUUAUCUUCUGCUGUUGCUAAUGCAAUGUUUUUGCCGUUGUUGUUUAUGUAUGGUUGUUGGCCGUUGGGAGUAGUUUAUGUUUGUUACUAACAGUUCAAAUUGUUGUAUUCGGUACAUUACCAGUCAAGGGGUUCGGCUCAGGUGCAGGGGUCACCGCACCUAUUAUGGUGCAGGCCCAAUGAGCACAUGCCACGUAUGUUUGUAGGCCCAAGCAAUUAAUUAAUUCAUUCUUUAAUUAAUCCUUCAAUGGAUCGCUUUCCUUCCAAACUCUCCGUGCUAUAUCUAAUUUAUUUGUUGUUUAUUCUCUCUGCUGCAAUUGCAAACUUACAAAUCUCUUAUGAAAUAGUUUGGAUUGUUUAUUCUCUGUUGCAUAUCUCCAUCGCUGUUUGUCCAUGCAGCAGCUAAAUAGAUAAUCUUCAUCGGCCAGGAUGUGUGCGUGCUCGAGGACCAUACGAGACCUAGGUUACGCCAUGCUUGCUAACCCGCUCGUUGUGCUCUGAACAAUCUUGCCGUCAGACAAUCAAAAGUACUGGCCGGCUGGAGUCUGAUCCGACGAGAAAACAACGUGAUGGAUCAUUUGAUCAAUACUAUCGAAGAGUGUGUGCUCACGUCGACGGCAUGUAAAAGUGCCUGCAUGCCCUGAGCAGUGAGCACAUGCCCAUCAAAAAAUGCAGCACAUUGUAGUCGCGAAGAUUGGAGUAUUAGGGAAGUUCGUCCAGAUGUGUGCUGGGUGAAGACGGCGGAGGUCGUCAUGACAGGAGUACCUUGCCGUGUGAUCCGACCUGUUUGCAUGGAAUUGAAGAGAGGAUGGAGAUUAAUCGGAAGAUUAAAAAAAUUAAUAAUGAAGUAUGGGCCUACUAGCACACGUGGAAUGCAUUGAUUGGGCCUGCACCAUAAUAGGUGCGGUGAACCCUGCACCUGAGCCGAACCCCCCAGUCAAGUGUUGCUCACCUGCCGUUCGUUGACUAUCAACCAACUAAGGUGUUAACAAGAUCUGGAAAUGUUUAAUCAAGGCUUUUUUAAGCUUUUCAGUACCACUAGCAUAUAGUGAACAGUAUAGGGUACACUGUUAGUAGAUGUGGUAGUUGUUGUUCUACUUAUUCUGUCACCUGCCAAUGAUAGUGGGCCAUGAGAAAAAAAAAGAAGGGAUUGUUAGAAGCAAACAAACACUUUGAUAGGAAAUGGAGAUGAUGUUAAAUUGGUUUGAACAACAGACUGAUAUUAGUUCUGCCAAGUAAGGUGAUAAGAGCAUGAGCUUUCCGUCUGCUUGAUCUAUUUCAUACUAAUACUGAUAUGCAUGUGUUGCCCUUUUCCCCUGUACAUGUACUUAAUGGGUGAUUCACAUUUCUUUGCUGUUGAGUUGCAUUGUACUAACCGAGAACCCAUAUUUGUUUGCUAAAUAAUUUCUGAGACCGAGGUAUCGUAAUUUGAAACCAACCAAUAGCAAAUCUUAUAUUUUUUCCAUUCCAGGAAUUAAUUGACUUUGAAGCAAAGAAGGUGAUGUUGGUCCUUAGUCCUAAUUUGUGCUUUUUCUCCUCAUCCAUGGGUUUUUACUUCUGAUAGCUGCAUGUAACGGUGAUAGAGCUAUUACCCCUUAUUGCUUCAUCAAGCGAUUAAUUGUUACUCUGCUAUGCUAAACUCAGUUGAAAGAAAAACGCCUGGAUCAUGAGGCAAUUCCUUUGCAUUUGGCCCGCUAUGGUUUCAUAUUUCUUGUGCUAGCAGUGAAUUAAUUGUGAUGUUACAUACAUUUGGAGACGAGUUAAUUAUAUGCUUCAUUGUUAGUCGUAAUUUUUGAAAAUAUAGUACACUCCAGGCCUUACUUCGUAUUAUGAAUUUUUCCUUCCAAGUUAGUCAGCCAUUGGCACGCUUCUAAUAACAGCCCCCCAAGGACAUUUGUCUAUAUAUGCACCCAAGGUUUUCAUAUGGUGUGAUUUAUCUAUUGUGCCCUUUUUACA